UACGUAGGGUGCGAGCGUUAAUCGGAAUUACUGGGCGUAAAGCGUGCGCAGGCGGUUCGUUAUGUCCGAUGUGAAAGCCCCGAGCUCAACUUGGGAAUGGCAUUGGAAACUGGCGGGCUGGAGUGUGGUAGAGGGGGGUGGAAUUCCACGUGUAGCAGUGAAAUGCGUAGAGAUGUGGAGGAACACCGAUGGCGAAGGCAGCCCCCUGGGCCAACACUGACGCUCAGGCACGAAAGCGUGGGGAGCAAACAGG
rnacentral:rRNA from 1 species